CUGGCUGGUCUGUGUAAAUAUAAAUAACAGUUACUUGACAACAUAAAGAAUGCAAGUGAAAAUGAAGCUGGAACAAACAAAUGAUAAAAUGAGCUCUUUUUAUUUUACAUGGCAGUAGCCAGUUUCUAUCAAAUAACAUGCAUGCGUGGCUCUUUUAAGUAACACAUCCCUAAACCGAAAUACUUCAAUCAUAUUAAUAGGGUGGUUUUUAAAAUAAGCUGAAAAAGCUCCUUUUGGGAGGCUAGCCACCGUUGCAUCUACUCGAGUCAUUAUCUUUAACAGUAUUUACUCCAUAGCCCCAUGGUGAACGUACAUCACUCAGCUUUUAAAUCACCUUCAAUCAAGAUUCGAGACUGCAUGGCAGGCUGAGGGAGGCAAUGCCUUUCUGCUGUAUGUGUAAGGAAGAUCCCCACUAAAGUUCCUUUUGUGACUUGCUGGUUAAGUCAGCACGACGAGUGGACCGGAGGGUCCGAGGGCUUCGUCCUUUGUUACGCAGAGGACACCCCUGGAAGGCCAGCCCAACGCCCACGGGCACAUCUGGGCUUUCCCAGGCAGUCCACAGAGCCAUCCCCGGCCUCUUUACCGUCGAGACACUGUGAGGACACACACGCAGGACACAAAACCCCCACGUAGCAGCCCCUCGCGAGGCGCCCCGAGCCCGGGUGCCCACCGCCAACUCCCACCCCAAAUCCGCUCGCGGGCGCAAGACCGGUUCAGGUUCCGACCUGAAUCUGAAAGUGCUUCUAAAUCCCAUGCUUCACAGAACGUUCGGAGGGGGAGGCGCUCCGUGGGGGCUGCUGCGUGCCCAUGUAGCCGAACUGACUCGAAUACAAGCGUGUCCACGUCUACAUUACACAUCUGUGUAAAUGCAGAAGCCUGCGGAUGCGCGGGGCUGGCCAGACUUCAGUGUGCAGACACAUGGGCUCAUGCACGCGCGCGCGCGCUCGCUCACACACACUCACACCCCAAAUUACCUCCGGGAUGGAGAAAGCCGCUGCGGAUUGGCCAGCAGAGCCGUCACUCACGCCCAGGGGGCAGGGAGACUUCGCAAAGCUGUUUCCUUUUUUUUUUUCCUCCUCUCCUCCCUACCGUUUCAUUUAAUGGUAAAACAACAGCAGAGCUCUGAAAGUUAGCCAUCUGCGCAGAGUUUGCCUUCUUUAAGUAGGGAGGCGUCAGACGAUAUCCAUUUAAAUAUAUUUUGUACUUCCACAAAGGAUGGAAAGAGAAAUUAACCAAGGGAGUGGAGGCGGAAAGGGAGCUCCGAGUAAGAAGGAGGGGUCAUUCCGCGGUUGGGGGGGGGGGGCGGGGGCCGACGCAGGGGAAAGAGUUGCUCUCUACAUCGAAAAGAGACUUUGACCUUCCAUUGAUCUCGAAAUUAAAAAACGUUUCUUCAC
rnacentral:lncRNA from 1 species